GGGGGGGGGGGGGCUCGAACUCACAAAACGCACCAAAGUCAGACGCUUAACUGACUGAGCCACUCAGGCGCCCCUCAGAACUACAACUGACAUUUUAAUUAAAAUUAUAUUAAAUAUGAGUAGAUAGCAAUGCCAACAUGUCUUAUGUCAAAUAAGAUGGAAAAUAUAAGUGUCUCAUGCUUUUUUCUAAUAGAUACUUGGGAUUUAUUAUAGGGCCUCAUCCUUUUGUCUUUUGAGAGAAUUCCGACAAUUGAAUUCGUCUUUAAAAUUUCAAGAACAAGAAGACUAGGCAGCUGGGGUCAGCAUCACAGAAUAGUUUGUUCAAAAUAGAAAUAUUCUUCUGUGGGCAGCAGAAGAACAUAUUCAUUUGCAAAGCUUCCAUCCAUAAACAGUCCUCCCUCUAGGCAGAUGUGAACUCCAACCAGUAUCAGACUGUGUUCUGAGUGAUUGCUCUGAGAAAGCUCCAGUCAUGCCCAGUUCACUUAUUCACUCAACUCACUGUAAAAUCUACCACGGUAGUUGUGUUCAAUAGCGAACCAAAUAGAGAAAAAAACCUGCUGUCCAAGAGCAUACAGCCCACUGCAGGAAGGAUGGAAAAAGAUGAAUUACUUACAAUAUUUUGUAAUAAAUUUGAAAAGCAUGGUAGUCAAUGGGAUGGUGGUGUGGGGGAAUCAAGAACUUUCUGUAACUCCAGAGGGAAUGGUGAAGGUAAUUCAAAGAGAGCAAGCCAUCAUAUGUUUGGUGUUUAUUUGUGGGACUGUCCAUAUAAAAGGAUUUCUUUUUUAACAGUAAUAACAGUAACUAUAAAUACAUUAAAAAAUGACUUUCCUCUUUUUGCCCAAACUUCACAUAACAUAGGCAAAUCAAGAAGAUAUUACUUAGCAAUUGGAUAUCCAGGACACUGGGGAAAGAGAAUUUGGAUAUAGAAACAGGAUUUGACAAGAGGUUGUCACAAAGGAGACUUAAACAAUUCUUGAAUAAUCAUCGUUGGCUGGAACAUUUCUCUUCCCUACUUCCUUAUUAGUAGAUACAAUUAUAUAUGACUUCAGUUCUGUUUCUUUCUUUGAAAAUUAUUGCUUGAAGAACAUAACCUCACUUCCUUGCUAAGAAUGUCACCUUGUGUUACUAUUCUAGAUAUGAAAAGAAAUACUUAACCUGACUAGAUUUGCUCUUGAAGUCUUUAACAGGAUACAGUUCCAUCUUCGUGAAAAUACAGUUUUAUUUUGACCAGAACAGAGGGCCCACAAAAUAGAACUUCUUUUAUCUACUUUGUUUUUUGAUAUUUGAAACAUAAACUAUGGUUGAAAUGAGGGAAUCAAUAUUACAAUGAUCCAUAUGGAAAGCAUAAAAGCAUCAAAUUAGAAUGUGCAGAAGCAUAUGUACAUCUAUGUGCACACACACACACACACACACAUAUACACACAGAUUUACAAAUAAAGAUUUCCCCAAAGCAUCAUCUUAUGAUUGAGGUUUUUUUAAUGAGAAAGAAGUUAUAUUUGUGUUUCAUUUUCAUUUUUCUUAAGAUGCUAUAACAACUGAGUUUCAAAUUACUUUCAUAUUUAAAUUUUCCUCCAGCUAAAGACUUUUCUCUCUCAGCUGGAAUUAUUUCUUAAUUCAUUUAUCCAGUUUCUCAAAUCUUGGCAUAAAAUCUAAGAAAAAUUUCUUUGUAAAUUUUUGAGUGAAUUUUUAAAAUUAAGGCCCGAGGAAAUCAACAUUUUUUUUUUCAAAAGCAAAUAUUGUAGACCAAAUCAAAUUGCUUUUCUAUUGCAUUGACAAGAGAGAAAUGAGGAAGACUUUGACAUCUCUCUGGAAUGAUAGUGUCUAGCCCUAUUAUCUGUGCAUCAACAUGCUUGUAUGCUAUUAUCAACAUUUUAAUAAUACAGAUGUCUGAAAGAUUUCACUCCAAAGAGACCUAAUCUCUCACAAACCAGCUCCCAUCCAAUUUUCUAUUUUUCUCUACCAUCAAGUAGCUGCUCUCCUUUUGUUUCCCACAGAGACAUACCACCCACUGCCUCACCAUACCAGUGCUAUUAUCUUUCAUAUGAACGUUUUGCCCCAAAUUAGGUGAAUUUACGCACUCGGCCACAGGUGUAGCAGAACCUGCCCUUGUGAAAUGUAUAGCAUGGAAUGUUAUAAAAGGUGGGGAAAGCAGAACAGGAGGCAGAAGUCCAUACCCAGUUUUUGUCCCCCAUUUCCUCUGGUAGAGAAGUGAGUGAUGGACAGAUAGAGACGAGCUAUGUUAUUCUAACAGAAGCCCUUCCACAUGGAAACAGGAUGGGAAGAAAAAGAGAGAGAGAACCCUAACACAGAGAAUCCAAAACACCAAGAAUGAUAAAUAUUUUUAAAUUCUCUUUUCACUGACAUAUAAGGAAAGUAGCUAAGUUAAAAAGAAGAAACAAUUCAAACAGUAAAAAAAAAAAAAAAACGAAACAAAACAAAACAAAACAAAAAAACACUGUGCUGGGUUAAGAGUCAGGAUGUCAGAUUUUAAUUCUGGUUCGGAAGCUUAAUCAUGCUGAGCUGUGCCUCAGUUUCUCCAUCUGUAAAACAAGGACUGAAUGAGAUGAUCUUUUAAUUUCCUUCCAACUUAAAAUUCUGUGAUUUCAUAAAAAGAAAGUGAGGAAUCCACUUAUUUAAAAGGAAAUAAAACAAAGAAAUUUUAUAUUCAAGUGAAUUUUAAAUGUUCAGAAGGAAAGGAAAAACUGGUAUAGAGAGAAUUCUUCACAUCCACAGUAGCUUAGGUUGUGUUCCUUGGUGGACCGGGGAGACUCUGGGCCCUGAGGCCUCCACCAGUCCAUCCCAUGAUAUCACCAGAGGCUCUUGGUCUCAUCACCAUAAAGAAUCCAAGGAGAGAUGAGAAACAACAGUUGAGUGGUGCAAGUAGGAAAGUUUAUUAAAGGGAGAGUACACUCUUGAAAUGUGAGAGUGGGCGAGCUCAAGGAUAGCUGCUCUCGGGGUUAGGGUCUCUGUCUUUUAACAGAUGUUAACUAGGGUGUGGAAAAUAUAUUACUUGGGGAAGGGAUAUCUUGGGGGCAGGGUUUCGUGCCUUUUCUCCCUUACUUGGUACUUGGUUAGAGGGCCUUCUUUGUCUUGAGCCUGUCUGGCUUGAUCUGGCUUCUUGAGGCUUUGUUUUUGGAAUGCUGCCAGGGCAGAUCUCUAACUUGCCCCAUAGCUGGCCAUGACUACCCCUUUGCCGGCCUCCAGUCCCUUUAAAGCCUAACAGUUGCAACUAACUGCCUACUCUUAACAGUUCCAUAGGACAGGGUGCUGAGUAACAAAGAAGUCCAAGGUCCAGGUCCUAAAAGAAGUAAUAUAUGUGCUUUCUUAAUCUUUCUUAUUACCUUUGAAGCAAAUCAUGGUGAGAAAAAUAAGAUAUACUGUAUAUUGAAGAAAAGACAACCAUUAUGGGGCACCUGGGUGGCUCAGUCGGUUGAGCGUCUGACUCCUGGUAUCAGCUCAGGUCGUGAACUGCUUGUGGGAUGGAGCUCCACAUCGGCCUCUGUCCUGACAAUGCGGAGCUUGCUUGGGAUUUUCUCCCACCCUCUUUCUCAGCCCCUUCCCAACUCAUGAUCUCUGUCUCUCCCUCUCUUUCUCUCAAAAUAAAUAAACGUUAAAACAAACAAACAAACAAACAAAAGAAAACCAUUAAAAACAUGUCUACAGGAAGACAGGAGAGAAGAAAGGGAGAAGAGGAAAAAGGAGGAAAGAAGCAAAGAGAGGAAAGGAGAGUUUGAGGCCAAUUGAGGAUGAGGAGGCAUCCUGAGAGGUGAGUAGAAGCUAGCUAGAUAUAAGGGUCCAGGCCACACUUCAUUUUUUCUCAUGAGUUGUAAGCAGGUGUUUAAAGGCUAACGUAAAUUAAAGUAGUUCUGGACAGCAAGCUGUUCUGCAGCCCUGAGACAUACAUAGAAGAUUUCUGACCCUAAGAAAAGAGGCAGGCUGGGCUGAAAGCCAUUUUCUCCCUGGCACAGUAAAGAAAACCAGAGUAGAUUGAAGGUCUAAGCAAAUUAGUUGAGUGAGUCUAUGAAAGAUAAUUAUAUUUUCUUGAAACUUAGAGUUUCUGUAAAUACAGAGCUAGCUUAAUAUAAAAGUUGAUAUUUCAAUGGAGUAUUUUUGUCAAUGAAGAAAACUAACAAAUUUUUGAGCUGGAUCUUUUCAGUAUCUAGGAAAUUACUUAUAUCUUAAGCACUGAUAAACUCCCAUUGGACUCCUCCUAUAUAAGACCACCCCCAGAGCCAACUGUAUCUGAAGGACCACACUGAGAGCUUCCAGUAAUGUCCAUUAUGAUUCACUACUCCCAUUUCAUUCACUCAGUCACCAUGUAUUUACUGAGUACCUACGAUAAGAUUACCAGUCAUAAGAUUAUAGUGAUGAACAGGAAAAAUUUUCUGAUCUUAGAGGACAUACAUUCUUGUCGGGUAGGAAUGAAGGCAGGGAGUUUGAAAAUGAGUUAGUUAUAAUAUUUUGAAAUAGACCUAAAAAGGGUUUGGGAAACAAUUUUAGUAACUCUAGAUAGGGUUAAUAUAAUUCCAACUACUAAAUUAUAACUGAAAGAAAAUUUAUGGGGAUUUCUAGGUGAAAAAAUCCUUAAUUUCACAACUGUCUCCCUGUCCAUCAGGGAAACAAUUUAAUAAAGAAAAUUAAGAUGAAAAGAUUGCCAAAUGACUGUCAGGAACCAGAGCUAAGAAGAUGCACAAAGACAAUCCUGUCCACAUUGGCUGAGAAAACUUACCAACAAUGUCUGUGGAAUGCUGCUCAGUCCCACAGAUAAUUUACUUUAUAUCAGGAAACAGGUUAUAUAAAUGAAUGAAGCAGUCUGAUUUUAUGGUGAUAAAUGGAAAAUAAUGCAGUCCAGGGAAUAUGCUAAGGAGAAGUGGUGACAAUGGCAUUAUGGAAUAGAUGUGCCUACUCUAAACAGAGUAGUAGCUACUCAUCUCUAGUUGACUGUUGUCAAAUCAACUACUUUGUCAGGAGAAUCUUAAAAUUCUAGAUUUAACUUAUCUCUUCCAAUUUAAAAAAAAAUAACUGUAACUAAUUCAAACUUAAAAACUAUUCAGGCAAAGCAAAACACAUCUGAAGGCCAGAAUCAGCCUGCAGACCAAGAGUUGAUGAUCUCUGCUGGACAGAAAUGCCCAUGUGUCUCUGCAAGUAUUGCCCAGUGGGGUAUAACAUGGCACAGUGGAAAGAACCUAGAUGGGGUGUACAGAACAGUUGGAGUCAAACCCUUAAUGAAAUUGCUUUGUGCCUUUAGUUGAGUCUCAUGACCUGAAAUGCAUUGUGUCAGAAAAAUGGAAGAUGGAAGGACGGCAAUAAUAUCUUAUUUGCCAACUUUUCGGGAUUAUCCUGAGAAAUAAAAUGAUGUAAGUAAAAGUACUUUGUAAACAGUAAUUUCCUACUAAGUGAUAUCUUCCCCAGCUCUCCAUUAUCAACACUGUGACAAGUUCACUUUUCCAGUCUUACGAAAUCAAUAUUUAGGAUUGAAUUCACUUUAAGGCCAAGAGAGUAGCAUGCACGUUUUUAAAGAACUAUUCAUUGAACAUUGGAUUACUUUCAAGGUGCACACUUGAUUAAUUUGUAUUCCAGCAGUUCUGAAUAUAUAGUCAUCCAAGAGUUGGAUAGUUUAAGCUUGCAAAUUCUAAAGGGAAUUUGCUGAGCAAAUGAAUAAAGUAAGCAGAAUUGAGACAGGAAAAAUAUCAACAUACUAAAACCUUUUCAGGAGUUCAUACAAAAUGUUAAAACAAUUAUUCUCGCCUGGCAUAUUUGAACAAAAUUUAUUUUGUGUUUACCUUCUAAAGGGUUGUACUAAGUGUAACAAGAGUUAUUUGUAUAUGAACACCUGAUAUGGUAAUUAAUCAUUUUUAUAGGUUCAUUGAAAUAUUUCUUUUAAAGACUUCUUAUAUAAAGUAAUCCAUAAUUCAGUUAGUUUUAUUAACUCCAUCUGACUAAUGUGAUGAUCAAGAACUUGAGCCCUAGAGUCAGCCCGUCAGGAUUUGGGUCCUUGAUAGUGGUCAUUGUAGCAAGUUACUUAAUUUCUCCAUGCCUGUAUUUCUUCAUGUGCUUAAUGAAGAUAAUAGAAACAUGCACCCCCUCAUAUGGUUGGUAGGAGGUCUGAAUGAGAUAAUACACAUAAAGCACUUAGCAGUGUAUCUGGAAUAUGAUGAGAGUAAAUGUUAACUAUUAGUAUACGUAAAUUUUAAAUGAAUUUAUUUUUUUUAUUUUUUUUUUAUGUUUAUUUAUUUUUGAGAGAGAGUCAGAGUGUGAGUGGGGGAGGGACAGAAUCCGAAGCAGACUCCAGGCUCUGAGCACAAAGCCCUGUGCAGGGCUUGAACUCAUGAACCACGAGAUCAUGACUUGAGCCGAGUCCGAUGCUUAACCAACUGAGCCACCCAGGUGCCCCUAAAUGACUUUAAUUUCAACUUUUGAGUAUUUUUUGUGGUCCCAAAAUUUCCACGUUAAAAUUAUUUUUUGCAAUUACAACUGGUUUCUGAAGCUGUUAAAAGCAGUAGAACUCUCCUUUUUAAAUGCAAUUUUAUUUAGAAUUCAUAACUUUAAAUGUGGUCAGAGGAAACUGAGUAAACUGAGACACUGCAGUAUGAGUCAGGAGUGACCCAGCUGAUUGAACUAUGGCAUUCAUAGGGAUAGGACAUAGGGAUCUCAUGUCAGCAAAGCCAAAGUUGCUUUUGGGGUCCACACAGCCUGCCCUGGAACAGUUUAGAGUAUUGGAAGAUGUGUUCCAAAAGACCAAGUACACAGACUGGGUACAUGACUUCAACCCUCAAUCUUGAUGAGCCAAUGGUAAUGCUUUAGUUCAAGAAUCAUGAUGUCAAGUGGAAGAAACAGCAGUAAAAAACAGCAACUACUGUCACCAAGAGCACCAAACUGUGUCACUUCAGUGACAGAGGGAAAGGCCCCCUGACCCACAGCUGCUGUGGACACUUGUCCUGUGAGUCCUGGAGUUCCAGUGCCAUGCACCUGAUGCACCUAAGCCUUCUGGCCCUGAACCUUAAACUGCUCCCCCCACCAUUUUCCUUAGACCACAAUUCCCUGUGCAACUGGGUGCCUCACCUGGGGAAGAUGAUCCCACAGCCUAAAUAAGUAUCUCUUCCUUAAGGUGCCUCAACUAAGAGGGGCUGGCUGACAUGAUCCUCGGUCUUUCUAUCUCAGCCACACAGCUCUUGAGGAAGGCCUGUGAUCCAAGGCCUGAUCAUCACAAAGGUAUUUCCUAACACCUUUAAUGGGCUGAUUCAAGUCAAAAGGCACCAAGCAUAGGGAUUAUUCUGUAAGAAAAAUAAUCCCUUCACCUUUUCUCAGGGCCCGUAUCUUCUGUCUUCCCAUUGAGUAUCUCUUCAUCCAAAUUUCUGAAUCAGACAGUGAUCGAGUCCCUUUGAGGAAGUAGCAGAAAUUAAGCUCCAAGUUUACCCAUUGAGUUUAGUUCAGAGACACCCCAACCAAAGUCAUGACAAAUUAAGAAGGCCUGCUCUUCAUUGGUCAGCAUUUACCUCCUUCAUAAAGCAUUUAGAUUUUUGUGGAAAUUGGAGGGUGUCAGGGCUUGAAACUUGUAACAUACAACCCAAGUGAUAUUUAAACACUUCCACAGGGCACCUGGGUGGCUCAGUCAGUUAAGCAACUGACUUUGGCUCAGGUCAUGAUCUCACGGUCCGUGAGUUCGAGCCCCGCGUCGGACUCUGUGCUGACAGCUCAGAGCCUGGAGCCUGUUUCAGAUUCUGUGUCUCCCUCUCUCUGACCCUCCCCUGUUCAUGCUCUGUCUCUCCCUGUCUCAAAAAUAAAUAAAACGUUAAAAAAUUUUAAAAAAUAAAUAAAUAAACACUUCCAGUGGGGAGGGAAAGGAUGAGUUUUUCAGUAUUCUUCAGGAAGCUGCUCUAGCAUUGGCAUCAGAACUUGACAAAGAAAUCUCAAUUGGUUAAGUUGCAUAUUUAUGUUUCAAGCUCCCAUCAAUUUAGAAAAAAUGAAAGAGUAGAUUUUUGGAAAUCCCUUAGAAGUCAAGUAGCUAAUAAAAAACAUUCAGUGAAAUGCUUGAAAAAGAAAGUUGAGCAAGUAUUUCAGAAACUAAAAUAAAAGGGCAAAAAAAGGAGUAAAACAGUUUUUAUAAAGGCUUAAUAAAAGAAGGCUAGAAUUGGAUUAAGAAAAUUCCCUUAUGCUUAAAAUAAAGAAGAAGGCAGAGAAAAUUAUCAAAGAAAUAAUGCAAGGUUGCUUCUGCAACACGAAGGGUAUGAUUAUCCAGCACAAAUGAACAAAGACUUAGCUAAAGGUAUGCUACUGUAAAAAAUCAGAAUACAAAGUAUAAAUAAAAAAUGGUAAAUUCUGGAAGCCUCCAAGGAGCUUCUGGUGAAUCCCAUUGUAGUCAGUAUUAUGUGGUCUUCUCAACAACACAUGCUUAAGAGACGAUGCAGUAAGAAUUUGAAUAUUCUAAAGAAAUAUUCAUCCACAACUUUAGUAAUCAGCAGGUACACCUAUAAAACAUAAUAGAAUAAAGAUGUUCAGGCACUGCAAGGAUUCUAAAACUUAUAUCCCAUGCCCUCUUAGGGAACUUUUCAAGGAAAUGCUAGAGCAAAAUAAGGAACUGGAUACAGGAAAAACCUUAGGAUUGGAGAAGCACAGGAAGCAACAAAGCAGGGGAGCAAAGGAGCUUCCAGGACAGAGGUUGUGCACUAACCAUUUCUAUGCCAUUUGAAAGCAAUCACCGCAGGGAAGGAUGCAGAAGAGGAGAGUAGAAGGGGAAAAAAGAAAAAAGAAAAAAUAGAAAAAGAGACCAUGACAGUGACCAGCUUAGAAUGUAGAAUAAAACAGAAGCCUCAAGGUUAGAGGUCCCUGGAAAAAAAUCAGUUUGAUAGGAUAUCUGAUUUGCUUAAGAAAUAAAAUUAAAGGACUUUGGAUAGAUGCAAUGAAGGAUAUAAAAAAUAAGGUAGGUACAUCCUUAGCAAAUAAAAAGGAAUUAUCUUUAAAAAGCAAAGAACUUUAUUGAUAACGUGAAUUAUUUCUCUAGAGAAGCAGUUCUCAGGCUUUCUGGCCUCAAGACUUCUUUUACACUCUUGCAGAUUAUUGAAGACAGCAAAGAGCUUUAGUUUAUGAGGGUUAUAUCUAUCAAUGUUUACCAUAUUAGAAACUGAAACUGAGAAAUGGUCGCACAUAUACUUACUAAAUCAUUUUAAAUUAACCGGAAACAUUUACAUGUUAAGUCUAUUUCUGUGAAAAAUUGUAUUUUCCAAAACAAAAACUAUUCAAUGAGAAGAGUUCAGUUGGUUUUCAUUUUGCAGAUCUCUUUCAUGUCUGGCCUAACAGAAAACAACUGACAUCUCAUCUGUGCUUCUGCGUUCAGUCUGUUGUGAUACAUCACGUACCUCCUGGAACAUCUUACCAUUCACAAAUCUUUAAGAAUUAGCAAAUAGUUUUGACACCUGCUCCCUUAAAAGGGCCCCCAGAUGACGCUGAAAAAAAAAACAGUCCUCUAGAGUAAUACUUGACUUCUUAAUGAAUACUCUUUUAUAUAGUUAUAAUAUAAUUUCUUAUACUGAUUUAACCAAAAUAGCCAUUCAGUUACCCUGGGAGUCUGGAUGUGAGUGAGGAAGACUCUGGUUAGCAUUAAAUCAUCAACAACAAUAAUAACAGAUCAAGGGGUGCCUGGGUGGCUCAGUUAAGUGUCUGACUUUGGCUCAGGUCAUUAUCUUGCAGUCCGUGAGUUUAAGCCCCGGGUCAGGCUCUGUGUUGACAGCUCAUAGCCUGGAGCCUGCUACAGAUUCUGUGUCUCCCUCUCUCUCUGCCCCUCCUCACUCACACUCUGUCUCUGUCUCUCAAAAAUGAAUAAAUGUUAAAAAAACUUCUUUAAAUAAAAAAAAUAAUAAUGGAUCAAAAGAUGAUGUGUAGUAUCAGUGAGUUGUUAAUAGCAGUAGAAGUAAUUUAUAUUAAAUGCUAGAGGUAAAUAUCAGAAGCAUCACCUCCCAUAUUUUAAGUGAUUGCUUCUAGAUGAUGGUAAAGAAGGGUGCAGAAGGGUAGAGCAGGAGACUGUUAUAAAAUGAAAUUCUAUGCAGCCUUUAAAAUGAGCUUUUCCUAUAAAUUUAUGGAAAUAAUUAUCAAAAUAUGAAUCAAGUUUUGAUGAUUCAGUGGACCUCAGGUGGAGCUUCAGAUUUUGCAUUCCUAACAAGCUCCCGGGUGAUACCAAUACAGAGCCAUGCUUUCUGUAGCAUCGACUUAAAUAAGGAGAAAAUAGUCCUAACUCAGAAUUUUAAAUCAUUCUGAUGGUAUCAGAAAGAAAGCCUCAGGUACGAGAUUGUGCUUUAUAUCUCUCCCAUAGUUGCCGAACUCUGAAAGAUGUCCUUGGAACUUUCAUGAGGGAACAGUAUCUAACAAAAAUUUAAAAGGAAAAAGUGAGAAAAUUGGUGAAAUCCUAAUAAAGUCUAGAGUUCAGUUAAAAUUAAUGAAGCUAAUGUUGGUUUCUUUGACAAAUGUUAUCAUGGUAAUAUAAGGUGAACAUUAGGGGAAACCAUAAAUUUCUAGUUAUUCCAAAAUUAAAAGUUUAGUUUAAAAUGUUAAAUAAAAGAGUAAAUAGCAAAAGAGGUAAAAGCCGAAAUAUUCUGAUUAGACCAGUGAGAAAAGUAAAAAGAGGGGGACCCAGAAUCCUUCCUAUUUUUCAUUCCCCUUUGACCUCUGGUAGCUCCUGAAACUGAAAAACCUUUGGCCUCUACAUAAGAUUGGAAACCAGCAGACCUAGCAUUCUUUUUUAUGUUUAUUUAUUUUUUUGAGAGAGAGUGUGAGUGGGAAGAGGGGCAGAGAGAGGGGGACAGAGGAUCUGAAGUGGGCUCUGCGCUGACAGCAGUGAGCCUGAUGUGGGGCUUGAACUCACAAACUGUGAGAUCAUGACCUGAGACGAAGUCAGACGCUCAACCAACUAAACAAUCCAGGUGCCCCUACCAUUUUAUUUUACAAGGAAAAAAAACACGAGACCCAAAGAUUAUUAACUGUCUUACUCAAAAUUACACAUUUGUGUAAAAUAAGGACCAGAAUGGAAGAUUUCCUUCUGUGUCAUCCUUGUUGCUUUUCAACAACUAUGGGUUUUAUUUAGAUAUAUCUAAUUUUCUUCUCUAAAACAGGGGGAUUUUCUUCAAUGUGACCACAAGAUAGACUCACAUAUGUCACCCAAAUAGCUCCCAGGUGAGACUGACUUAUGUGUGGUCACAAUAGGUAAACCAAAGAUCAAAUUGGUCACUUAUCAUGAGAACUGAAGUCACUGGAGAAAGAUGAGUUCUGUCUUCUUGGAUAAAUUCCUGUUUUCCUGUGGUCCAAUGAGUGUUUGCAUGGAAAGUGUAUAAAUUAGCUUGUCAAUUGAUAAGGUUAAAGGACUUGGCUAAGAAGGCAAGUAAUAGCUUGGUAUUUGCUUGAAUUCUUGAUAUUCUUAUCUUUUUUAAUGUUUAUUUAUUUUGAGAGAGUUUGUGAGUGGGAGAGGGGCAGAGGGUGAGAGAGAGGAUCCCAAGCAGGCUCCGCGAUGUCAGCACAGAGCCGGACUCAGGGCUCCAUCUCACGACGUGAGAUUAUGACCUGAGCCAAAAUCAAGGGUCAGAGGUUUAACCAACUCAGCCACCCAGGUGCCCUGACAUUCUUAUCUUGAUUGAGAAAGCCUGAUGUUUAGGAUUAAAUCAGAAGCUGUCCAUGACUACUUCUUUGGCACACUUCCCAAAUAAUGUGCCCAUUUUUCUAGCUGGUAUCUAGUCACUGAGCCAUUGUUGAUGCUAUGCCUGUAGUGUUGUCGCUUCUAAAUAUGCUCGUAAAAAGCAAAGUGUCCAUUCAUCCUUUGCCAUCCUUUUAAUUAUUCAUAGGUUUGGAGUGUUGGGCUUUACCUCCAAGAGAUAUAGAGCCUCAUGAGUAACACAGGCCUUUAAUGCAGGUGAUGGGUUUAUCUAUUAGGCUGCCUAUUAGCCUGGAGAAAAAAAUAAAUGCAACUUGGAACAAAGCCUUUCUUUGUUCUUAGCCUUCAUAUUCAGUGGUGUACUUCCCUAGGUUACCUUGGCCUUGCAUUGUUUGGAGCUGUCUCUACCCAUUUAUACUAUCCGAGCUUUCGUGGGUGCUUGGGCUAGUGCUUCUCAACUUUGUUAUUACAGAGGCAGUUCCUCUGCUCCUAAUAUGUGUCUCUCAGGUCCCGCUUCCCUUCCAUGAUCUUUAAAGCUAGGCAGCACAAAAGGGAAGGUCAGCCCAGCCACGCAGUAUGUCUCUUUCACUCAGCCCAUCUCUAGCACUAUCACAUGAAUCACAGCAUGAGACUGUGCUGAAAACGAAAUCCUACUGCACGUUAAGCCAACGAAAAGCAUAGUUCUGCUUACCUUAGAAAAAAUCAUUUAUGAAAGGAAAAUCCAAACUCCCCAUUCAAAAUUGCUUUAUGGUGAUUUUUUUUAGAAGCAGAGUAUCGAAAUUGUGUACUUAGAACAGUGCCACAAAGCGGUGCUUGCUGGGGGAAGGAAACAAGCUUGUUCAAUAACGUAGGUUUUUGAAACAGGCUUUGUCUUGGAGGCUUGAUGAUUUACAGAUAAAUCUCUCCUCAGUCCUGCCAAGAUAAUUGGACUAAGGGCAUACAUGUUAACAGGUUUUGUUUUCUAUUCAACUAAUAAGUAGCUUUGUUGUUAAUCCUUAUUGUGUUCAUUACUUAAGAACAUGCAAUAUGGCAGGUGAUACUCCUCCUAGAGAGGCUUUGUGGGAGACUGCUAGGGAAUCAGGGCAAGAUACAUUCCUCUUAGUAGAAUGGACUUUCAGAGAAUAUGCAGGAAUUCCUGGGCUCCUGUUACCAUGCAGCGGGGUCUAGUAGGGAGGGGAGCAGACUCUUAAAUAAAACCCUUGCAUUUGCUGCUUUUUUGCCUGUUUUCCUGACUGAAUGUCUUGUCCACUUGGAUGUUUCAUCUGUUUCCUAACAAGGUUCAUGAUAAAAAGUGAGAACUAGUAUUUCAUAGGUCAGGUAACACUGCCUUACCGUGAGAUUAGUUUUCUUUUAACAUAAUUUGGUAGAUAGUUUGCAAUCUUGAAAUACCAGAAGGUCCUGCAUUGCCAUGGAUUUCUUGAUGCAACUAACCCAUGUUGUCAAGGCAACCCACUUCAUGUUUUCUCCCCUCUAGAAAACCAUUUCCAUGUUGCAAACCUUAAAUCACAAUCAUCUCUUAGAAUACACAGGGUCAAACAUCCCCUGUAUGCACAAAGCUAUUACUUUUUUUUAUAUAAGAUAUCGUGUCAUUACAGUAGAAUAAUUUGACUUGAGGGAUAAUAUGUGUAUUAAAGCAUUGAAGUUAAAAUAAUUCUGUAGCAUUUAUGUCCUAUCUCCCCAUUUCCAGGAGAUAUGAGGCUGUUUCCUACAAGCAGUUACAUUUUUGAAGCUCUAGUAACAAUGUUGACAUAUUUUGACUAAUUUCUAUGUAAAUUGAUUGCAAUCAACAGCUUUUUCAUGGUUUGUGAAAUUAAAUCACUUAAAAGACGAAGUACUUUCUGGAAUUACUAUCACCCACCUGUUGUAUAUUUUCUCCUUUUUUAAGAGACAAAGACCAGUUUUGAGAGUUCUUCCAUGUUAUUGAUAUGACUCCACUAUUCUCUGAGAACCUGGGUUAGCAUCAUGCUGGAACUCAGAGACUGACAUCAGGCGGAAAGUGUUCCCUCAGAUAUCUGGGCUGUUUGAGUGGUUGGUUUAAAAGAAAAUCCCAAUUGGGGCGCCUGGGUGGCUCAUUUGGUUACGCAUCCGACUUUGGCUCAGGUCAGAAUCUCACGGUUUGUGAGUCACAGCCCUGCAUCCAGCUCUGUGCUGACAGCUCGGAGCCUGGAACCUGCUUCGAAUUCAGUGUCUCCCUCUCUCUCUGCCUGCUCCCCCCUACCUGCCCCCCACUCCCUGCUCAUUCUCUGUCUCUCAAAAUGAAUAAACAUUUUUUAAAAAUCCCAAUGAAAGGAUAGUAGGAAUCAUUUUACCCCUUUUCCUAGUUCACUAUUAACAAAAAAAUUGGGUUAGGUUAAGAUUCUUUCUGAGGUUUGAAAAUUUGAAGACUUUAUUUUUAACCUACUCUUGGCAAUACAACUCACAGGCUACAUUUAACUUACGUAGUGAUCAGAAGUAAUUCUUAGUGACUCAUCCAGUACUGUUGGUCUGGCUUUCUAGUUAGUCUUUCAAAUAUUUAUAAGACUUCCUGCCCCUUACAUUUUUGUUCAAAAGUUGAUUGCAUAAAAGGUAGCCAUGUUUCAUUUCAUGAUUCCCAAAGGUUUGAGAACACAAGUAUGUGGCUUUAAAUGAAGUUUCUAUGUGGGUCUUAAUGGCUCAGAGCAUUUUCACGUUGCACGUUUAUUAGAUAAAACCUACUUUGGCACCUUUCAGCUGCCAUUCUUAUUUCAACAAGCUAAAGAAUUUUAUCCAUAUAAAAUAGUACAAAUUAUCAUAUCCACUAUUGAGGAACUGGCAUUAUUUUCUUUCCAUUAUUGUGAUUUGACAGGUCAGGCAUUCAAACGUCAGUCAGUCUACAAAGCCUUUUAGGUUACUUAGCUCAGCCCUCUCCUGUUAUAUCCUUCAAAAAUUAUUAGCACUCCAUCACAAUGCACAAAGGAUUUGAGCCUACUUACAGAAAUGCAUGCCAAAAAGUGAAGCCAAUUGUUAAGGAGGUUGUAGGAAAAAGAAGCGAGUGAAAUAAAAUCCUAAAACAAACAUAAGGAAGAUGCAUACCACGGGUCCUGUGUGCUAGUUAGACAGGAAGAAUAAUUUGCUUCCAAAUGGAUUAGCAUCCAAAACAAAGAAGGAAGUGUGGUAAAUUAAAUAAUUUAUACAAAUAUAAAUAUUUUAUACAAAUGUAAAUAUUUUAGCAAAUACAUAGAUUAUCAGAUCACUGAGGUCCUAGGGAAAUUUUCCUCUUGUGCUGCCAUUAAGUAAAUUUGGUAAAGGUGUAUAUCAUUUACAGUAAUUAUACUCUAAGAUGCAUUGUGUUAAUGACCAUAAUAAUCAGCCAGCAUUUCCUGGUUGCUUACUGGUGUUAGGCACUGUGCUGCAUGCUUUGUUGUGUACCCAGCCUCAUUUAACUCCCCCAAGAAACAUGAAAUAGGUAUUCUUAUCAUAAUGUCACAAGGGAAAAAACUCAGGCUUAGAGAAGUUAAAUAAACUGUCUAAGGUGUCUGUUUUUACUCAGUGGAGCUGGGAUUCAGUCUUAAAUCAAUGUUAUGCCUAAGUCAGGUUUUAAGCACUAUUCUACGCUGACUCUAUAGGUCAAAGUAGGGAGUGAUCAUAUCUGCCUGCAAAGUUAGAAAAUGCUUCCCAGGUAGAGAGGGAGUUGAAAUUGGUUAUGAGUGGUAACUAGAUGUCUCCCAGUGAGACGUAAACAUUUGAAGACAUUCUAUGCGAGAAAACAGUGCAUUUAAAUUCACACAGGAUGAGUAGUUCACAAAUUGAAAAUAGCUGGCUUUGCCAGAAAGAAGGAUGACCAUAGGCAAGUUUCUCAACCUCCCAUCCUCAUCUACAAUGGAAGUAAUAAUAGGAUGCCCAUCAUUGAGAGGUUUUGAAAAUUAAUAAUGUAAGGCUAUUAAUAUUAUUGUUAAGACAGAUAAUAGAUGAAGUUAAACAGAAGCAAGUACCAGAUUAUAUCCAAUGCUUCGCUAAAGAAGGACAUGGGAAGGACAGUAAGGGUAUUAAAUAAUGAAUUGAUAUAUUUGGACUUUUGAAAGGUUGUUUUGCAGCAAUGUGUGGAGAAUGAAUUGCCCAUGUAGUUGAGCCAGGCACAACAUGCAAGCUAGAAAACAAUAUGGACUUAAUUAAAGCAGUAGCUGAGGGGACAGAGAGGAAGGAACUUAAUAGGGUUUAGUUACUGAACGACUGCCAGAGCUGAAGAUGAGAAAUGAGGUGUAGGAAAUAACCCGUGAUGGUUCUCAGCUUUCUGCCUCCACUGAUUAGGUGAAGGUUUUAAUCAUUAACUAAGGAAGAAUAUACAUGCAGAUGAACAAAUCUGGGGAAAUAAUAUAAGAAGUACAGUCAGAACACAUGAGUUUGAGAUGCUUGUGAGCCGGCGAAGUAAAGGAGGUGAGUCUGAGAGAGGUUGAAUCUGGACUCGGAGGGAAAUGUGGGUGGAAGUCAUCAGGAUAUCUGUGGUCGUGGAAGCCCCAGACUCAGAUGAAUCAGUGAAGAGUGAGCUAUGAUGAGAAUGUGGAGGAAGAUGGAGCCCUGGGACCCAGAUGUAGGGCCAAGUGGAAAAGAGAAACCAGCAGACAUGCUCAACAGCACCAGCCAGAAAGGGGCAAGAGACCAGUGAAGAGUGACACUCUUGAAACCUAAGGCUUAAAAGAAAUUGGAAGACUCAGCAGUGCUGUGUCGAGUGCUACAGACAAGACUUUGAGUAAACGUAAAAUUAGGAGGUCCUCAGUAAUUUUUAGCAGGAACCAUUUCAGGGGGGCCACAUUUGUGACAGCUGGAUUUCAGAGGGUUGAAGAAUCUACAGAAAGUAAGAAAGGGCUGACAUUCAGAGAAAGGUAGAAUAUGCAUGCUAAAAUGUUACCUGUGAAGCAGUAAGUAAAUGGCUUUUGGUGGAGCAGAGAACCAGGGACUGUGUUGUUGUUGUUGUUGUUGUUGUUGUUGUUGUUGUUUAACUGGAGAUAGAUGUAUAAGGUUCUUAAAUAUUAAAAAAACAAAAAUAAGCAACCAAGAGGAAAAAAAUAUGGGGAAAAGCAAAUGGUCAGUACACACACACACACACACACACACACACAGCAAUCUAAACUAUUAACAUUUCAACAACAAUCUAGUAUCAAUUUUAUCCUGUUAAAUUGGCAUUUCAAACAUGCUCAGAGUGGAAUAAUUUUCCCAGAGAGCAAAUUUGACACAUACCAGAAGUCUUAAAUAUGUAAUAUGAUGUCUCCAUUAAGUUUUAUUUCUAAAGAUUUACAUUAAUGAAGUAAUCAUGGGUGUGCACAGUAUUUUGCUACAUGAAUUCUUGGCACAGUAUUAGCUAUAACAGUGAACAAACAAAUGUAAAACCUAAAACAAUAAUACUUCCAGGAGAAAACAUACGAGAAAAUCUGUAUGACUUUGGGAUAGGCAAAAAAUAACCAAAAUAACGAAAAUUUCUAUUAGUGAGACACUAAUAGAGACUUCAGUUGCUAUUUGAUAGCAUAUAUGCAGCCAUUAAAAAUGAAAUACAAUGACAUUCGUGAUAUAUCGUUACCUUUUAAAAACUGUUUUUACUGAGGGGCACCUGGGUGGCUCAGUCGGUUAAGCGGCCGACUUUAGCUCAGGUCAUGAUCUCGCCGUCCGUGAGUUCAAGCCCCGCAUCGGGCUCUGUGGAGCCUGCUUCCGAUUCUGUGUCUCCCUCUUUCUCGCCCCUCUCCCAUUCGUACUCUGUCUCUCUCUGCCUUUCAAAAAAAAAAAAAAAUGAAUAAAUGCUAAAAACUGUUUUUACUGAAGUGUGUUAGCAUAAUGUCUCCCUUUUAUUUAAAAAUAGAACUCUUACUCAGCAUUGUACUUAAGGUUCUAGCCCCUCCCUAUACGUGCAAAUGUUCUGGAACACUGUAAAAGGGAGUGUCUGUACCUGCUAUGCAGAUAGGAGAAAAGUACUGUGGCCCAGAAAGUGGCACUCCUUUUUGGUAGCCAAUGGGGGGAUCAGUGCAUGGAGACAAAAUCCUGUCCUCCUGGGCUCCACUGAUAGAAUGAAUGAUAGGCCAGAGCACAAGUGCAGACAGAGUCUUUUAAGUUCAGGAUGGAUGGUUUUUGUGAGGUGACUCAGACUCUGCAGUCUCUUGAACCAUGUGUCCCGAAGUAGUCCUAUGUUAGACCCAUUCUCCAAGUUCUCCCCUGCUAGAGUGGCUUGUAGAUGAGACCUAUUGUCAAGGGUCAUGGAAAGUGACUAAUUUAGACUGCAGAGGGAUGUUUUGUCCUCUUAGAUAAGAGGAGAGGAAGUAGGAAGGGUGUGAUGCAGUUAUAAAUGAGGAUUUAGUCUAAAGACAGGAAGUUGAGAAUUUAUGCAUGAGGGUAUCAAUGUUCUCCAAAGUAGAAGUUAUAUUUAAUAAGACCCACUGUCAAGACAUCACUUCUUUCCCUCUCCUGGAGGGAAAAACUAGUAGCAGAAACUACUAGUUAAUCACUCUCUGUCUCCACUUUAUCUUCCAUACAGUUAUAAGAAUGACCUUUUAAAAACCCUGGUAUCCUUAAACUCUAAAAGCCUUUCUAUCUUAGUCCUUGGAGAUUGCCUAAACUUGGCCCACACCUCAAAUCCAUGGCCUGGGACCAUCCACAUCUUGUACCUGCUUUCCGGAAGUGCCUGCAGCCUACUUUCUGUUUCUACAUACUCUGUCCAUAUAGACUGUCCCACUUCUGUUCAUAUAAAUCUGAUCUCCAAGGUGAGUCACUUUGUGGAUUUUGUCCCCAAAUUCACUUACCUCACCAUUUGGUGAGCUCAGUAGCAGGAGAGCAAUCCCACCAUGAAGCCCAGGGGCUUCUGCCUUCUGUCAGCUACCCCACAACACUCUCAACCCCUCCACCUUCUCCUUUCCUCAGGAUAGACAAACUUUCUCCAUUGUCUCGCUGAAAGAGAUCAGCCCACAUCCGUGUUCCUUGUGGUCUUGAUUUUCACUCCAGCUAAUCAUACAGAAAUUUAUUUUGAACAAAUUCUGAGAGGGAAAUCUGGGAAGGACAUCUGCUUUUCCCCACACAUGAAUGUCUGUCAAUCUCAGGCCCCAUUUUCCCUGCCUUUGGGUUGAUACUCAAGGCUCUUCACCAUCCGGUCCUGCCCACUCUUCCCACCUCACCUCUUGCCUUUUAACCUCUUGCUCACGCUCUGAGUCUUUGCAGUUUCCUCAAGCAAAUCUGCAUCCCGCAGAACUGUGUAAAUUUUCACAUAAUUCACCUUAUCCUCUUUCUCCUUCUUAUCAUGCUCAGCUCAAGCAUUGAAAGCAUUUUAUGAUCUUUAAUAGAAAGGGGAUGUUUAAAUGGGAAUAUUAAACAUUCCUACUCCAUUUUCAAUGUGGAUAACUGAACUUCACCUCUUGGUUUUUAGAAGAACAAAUUAUUAGAGUAAUAUUAGAUUGGCUUACCAUUGGCUUACCAUAUUCCUGUCCCUUUGCAGGGAUUCAGUAGCACUAGAGAAAUGGACAACUGAAUCUGCUGAAAAAUGAUGCUUAUCAGAAUUUUAAUGACUGGGAAUUAAGGACAUGGAGAAGGAAGCAGGCCAACCCAUUUUUAUUAGAUUUCCAAAGAGAUGGGGCGGGGGGAGAGGAGAUAAACUAUUAAAUAAGAACUUUUAAAUAAGAAUUCCUCUCAUAUUCACUUGUGAGUCUUAAAAGCUAGGAAGAAAAAUGGAAUCUAUUCUAGAAUGUGAACAAGUAUCACUUGUGUCUCAACAAAUUCCACACAAAGAGCAACCAGAUAUGAGGGAUACAUUGCUUGAAACAGACUUCUCAGCAAGGGCACCUGGAGGUCCAGAACAAGUUGUUUUCGGUGUCCUCUAAAAGGACAUAAAAUUUUUGGCCACCCAGAAACUUUCCUUGGUUCAAAGCAACUUCUUAAAUGGAAGAACACAAGAGUUGAGUGUGGUAGGAUGGGACACGGUUGCAUUUCCUAUACUGCAAAAUGCAGGAAUGCAGUUGAACAUUCCCCUGCAAACAAGAAGGAGCUACCAGUAGGCUGAGAAUCGGCAUUUGAGAUUUGGAAUUCAUUCUGAGUACCGCAAAUGAGGAAACUGGCCAGUUGUGGUUGUUUUCCAAGCAUGUCACGUCCCCGAACCAUAAGUUUCAUUUCCAGCCUGUAGAGAUUAUAUGUACCUCCCACCCUUCCCUGGUCCAGUGCUUCCUUAUUUUGUAAGAAGCGGAUAUGUUACUAUUAAAUCAAUUAAAGGGAAAGGCAGCUUAAAGCAAAGGCCCUCAAUCUGCAAAGUGUCUCAGACCUCUCUGAGAAUUCAGUGAAACGAUAUGGACCUCUCCCCAGAAAAAGUAAAUGUAACGUUUUACAUACAAUUUACAAAAUUAAUAUACCCCUAGAAAUCCCAAGGAACUUGGCUCUUUAAUGAAAAGGCUUCAGUUUUAGGACAACACUCUGAGCAAAGUCUCAGUCUCUAAAAUGCAAAACAAGCUUAAAAGUAAUAUAUUGAGUCAGCUAAUUAUGCUGGAUGUCAAAACGCUGCUAAAACUGAUUUUUAUUUGGUUAUCUUUGUGUUAUUAUAUCUAAAAUGUGAAUCAAUAGUUAGAGUAAAGGUCAUUGGCUGCCAUUUAAGCUGGAGUAGAAGAGAUAUUUAUUUUUCAAAUUUAUUUCAAAUUUUUAUAUGAGAGUAAAAACACCAGCUACAAUGAUAAAAACAUUAUAUACAGUGUUCAGAUGUGACACUACUAUUAAAGCAGGCUAGAAAUAGGAUGAAGAAAUUUUUUUUGACUCCUAAAAAUAAGUAUUGACAAUGAGCUGUCAGUAGAAUUGACACUUUGUACAAUAGAGACGCCACAGAGAAAACUCGCUUUUUUCUUUGCUGCCACCCGAAGGAAUAUUUUGGAAAGAUAACUAUAUACAUUCACACAUACGUACAACAAGACAGUUGAGAGAGAGAAAGAAGCAUUUAUGAAAUCAAAGUCUGAUAGGCAAAUACAGUUCCCUGUUCUAAUACACAAAGCCCCACAAUUAUGAUGCUAAUGUAAACUCUAAGAAAGCAGGAAUUUAGGUUGUGUUCUCUUGCACCUAGAAAAUAUCUGACACAUUGUGAUGCUUCAGUAAUUAGCUCCUGAAUGAAAAAAUCCACUACUCAAUAGAGUUUUAAGAAAUCUACAUAUAACCUACUGUAUUGCUCUGGGCAAAUCAGUUCAGUUCUCUGGACCUCCGUUUUUCCAUGUAGAAAGGGAGGGGUUAAAUUUGGGUCUUUUAAAAUUGGGUCUUCUAAUAUUCCCAGUCUCUAUGAUUCUGCUUAGUACAUAGGUACUUUCUUCUAAACCUAAAUGAUCAUUUUAGGUACAAAGAGCCAGCAAGCAAUAGCCUAUGAAGACCCACAUGCACAUGGAUGAAAGGAGAUACUUACAAAUGAAAUAAACAUGAGGAAUAUAUAUUUCUGAGGCAUGUUUAUUUCUUCUGGGGAAGAACAUCAUAGAGGGCAGUGGCAAUUCCAGGAGUCCUACGCAAGGUCUUAAAUCUGUAGAGAAGAAGGAAUAUGCCAUUUUUAUGGAAUGUGAUCCAGUUAUUCUCUCUGUUUUCUUUAUGAAGUCACAUCCCAUAAUGAAAUAUCCCCACGGACACAGCACCGUAGAUUUUCUGACAGCUCAGCAUGCCUGAAGUGGUAACACACUGAUCUCUCUUCCAGAAUGUAUGAUAUGGUAUUUUUCACCAUGAACUCAAGAAAAGACAGACAACCAAGUAUUGGUUGAAUAUUUUAAAAUAAACUUUAUUUAAGUGCAUCUCUUAAGUCUCUAAGUAAUUUGUGUUCUUACAUGACAAUACUAAUCAGCCCAGAUUAGGGUGAAAUUUUUUUUGGCGGUGGGGGGGGGGGUUGAGGGGGUUGGUAGGGAGGUAGAAAUAUUUUCACUCUUGUGGAAAAAUAUUAGAAAUGACACUUUCUCCCUAAAAUAUUUCCCUAAAUUUUUAUUUCCUCAGAAAAGUAAUCCUCAAAUUUCAGCAUACAUAAAAAUCAGUUGGGAAUGUUUAUUGAGAAUGCAGAUUUCUAGAUCCUCAUACAGAUCUGGGACAGAGCCUCAGAAUUUACCAUUUUAACUAUUACCAUGUCAAUUCUGAUGCGGAUCUGCCAGAGUACCUCUAGCACAUCUCCCCUCUAGACAGACCUAGCUGUCCAGUUCUUUCUUUUUUUUUUUUUUCCCCUCUCAUCUUCAUUUGUGACAUCAUUGCACCCUCUAGUGGAUGAUUGUACUCAGUAAUUUUUUUUUUUUUUCUUAUACUUAAAAACACCUUGCUCAAAUCUAAGGAAAUCUCAUUGCUUAUGAAUUUCUUGAAUGGAAACAAUGGGAGCUCGGGAGAGCGUUUAUAAGAAAACAUGUUUACUAAGCAUCAAAUUCAUAUUUAUGUAUAUAUAUUUAGUAUGUAAUAUACACACAUUUUACAAAAAGAGAGAAUUUUAAUCCUGGUAAGUUUGACUGAAUUUAAGAUAGCUAAUAGGCUUUUACAAUUUUUUAAGUUCUUAUUUAUUUAUUUUGAGAAAGAGAGAGAGAGAGUGAGUGGAGGAGGGGCAUAGAGAGGGAGAGAGAGAUUCCUAAGCAGGCUCCUGUGCUGUCAGUACAGAGCCCCAUUCAGGGCUCAGUCCCAGAAACCGUGAGAUAGAAACCAAGAGUCGGUCGGACUCUUAACCAGCUGAGCCACCCAGGUGCCCCCAUAUAUUUUUGUCACUUUGUAUCUACUGACGACAAAUUUUUAGACUAUUUAUACCUGUAUUGUUGAUAUUCUCACAUAGCAGUUUCCAUAAACGCCUUCCAGCGCAUCAGUACAAUAACUUGGGUCUUCCAGAUCUCCUUCUGAGCAUCUUUUAGUACCUAGUGGUCCUUGAGACCCCUUGAGUCACACCUAAGAUCCACAGGUCUUUUCAGAAAGUAUUAUAUGUUUUUUACCCCAUGGCUUCUAUCUCUGAAAAACCUUGUUUAUUGAGGCUAAAACCUCAAGGAUCACAAAUUCUGUUGGACCAAGCAGGUAAUAUAAAUGAGUAAAGUAAGCAGGGUGUAAACCAGAGAGUGGUGGGGACUAAAGAGAACUGAGUUUAUUACAUUUCAAGGAAUUCAAAAAUUAAUAUUUGUGAACCCACGAUGGGCCUAAGAACUAUAUGGAACUUGGUUUUACAAACCAGUUAAGGACCCCUGGUUUACUUGAGGGUUAAUUAAAUGCUAACUAUUAUGGAUGUUCCCGUGUAUAAUUCUAACAAAUACCCUAUAUAAGACAUAGUAGAUCAUCCCAAUUUUACCAGUGAGGUAACUGGAGCUUGAGGAGGUGGGUUACUUGCCCGACAUCAGAGUCAACAUCAGGGAGUUGAGACUUCCUGCCUGGGACUCUAGUCCAGGUUGGCCUGACCCCAGAGUCUGUGUUCUCAUUCACUUCAUUCCAAAGCAUCUCUGAGCAUGUGGCUUCUUGCCUGUUUGGCCUGACUGUCACUUUAUGCUUCUCACCACCUGCCCCCCAUGCGGCCCCUAAUUCUCCCUGUUUCCUGCCCCCCCCUCCCCCGGCCUGGCUCUUUCCAACAUCUUCUGUGUUCUCUUAGCCUCUGAUUCUACUAGUGUCUUUGCAUUUCGACCAUUUCUUAUAGGGUAAUUGACACCUUUCUCUGCAUCAGCAUGAUUCUUAGUAACUUAUUACUCACAUCGUAAGCUAAUGUGAUAAGCAUAUUGAUACAAUUUUUUUCUUACUAUUGCGUAAAUAAGUGCACCUUUUCCUAGAGCUUUCAAAUGGUAUUUCAGUGAUGCUUAGAUUUUUGUUAUAAGUUAGAUUUGCCCUGAUAUAACAUCUCUACGUUUCUACUCAACUGGGCUCUUUCUGAGCACUACUGUAAAUACUGUAAAGUAGUAUGAACUCUUCUCUAAAGUACUAUAGAGCAGUUGGCUCAAAAAAUUUGUUUUUGAGGGGCGCCUGGGUGGUGCAGUCGGUUAAGCGUCCGACUUCAGCCAGGUCACGAUCUCCCGGCCUGUGAGUUCGAGCCCCGCGUCAGGCUCUGGGCUGAUGGCUCGGAGCCUGGAGCCUGUUUCCGAUUCUGUGUCUCCCUCUCUCUCUGCCCCUCCCCCGUUCAUGCUCUGUCUUUCUCUGUCCCAAAAAUAAAUAAAAAACGUUGAAAAAAAAAUUUUUAAAAAAAAAUUUGUUUUUGAAAAGUAAGUAUUAAGAGUAAUUGUGUAUAAAAUUCAAGUUAAUUACUUUUGGAGGAGAAUGAGCUAUUUCUUUCACUUAUCCAUUCUUAGGUAACUUCUUGGGUUGUGCAAUCACUAAGAAAGAAUGGCAGCCCUGGGGUGGGUUUCUGGAUGUUUCCUAUCAGGCUGGCUUUCAUGUUCUCCAUUCCUCAAGAAAGACAUCAUUAUAAUCCACACACCCACAUUAAUGCUUUUUUAUUUGGGAUGUUUGAGUCGCUUCAACCUUUUAUAAAAACUGUCACCCAAAAUAGUAUUUCUUUGGGAAGUCUUAACAUAACAUUUUGAAUUGAAUUUCCAAACAAAAAAGAAUGAAAACGUACGGGCGCAUGUAUUGCAACCUGUGAUAUAUUUUUUCCAAUCCUAACAGAAAAGAAGCUCUCAUCGUGCAGCCUUUUGUAUGAUUCUACCUAGUUUAUGCAGAGUAAAUUACCCACUUGCCCUUCUUUGUACAAAUAGUUAACAAAAACAGACUGUAUUUCCCUGCUAUGAGACUCAGUAUUCAGAAAAAAAAUCUAUUUGAAAUUGGAAAAUAGAUGGAGAUGGGUGGCUUUGGCUGCCUUAAUUGUGUAUGAACAAACCCCAGCUCAUCCUUCCUUCAUCCUUCGGUGAUCAGCUAUCAACAAGAAGCAUCACUCUAGAAGAUAAAGACAAUUGAAGUUUAAUUGGAUACAGUGCUGCAAGUUCCAAGCUAGGGUAGCCACUAACUUUAUUGAAUUCUUCUUAAGUACAUGGAACUGCUCUGCACUUAUGUGCGUUAACUCACUUCAACUUGACCCUGUAAAGUAGGUACUAUUCUUAUCACGAUUGAUAGGUAAGGAAAUGGAAAGACAGAAAAUUGAAAUAACUCACCCACGAUCACACAGCAUUUAGUGGUAGAGUCAGGAUUUGAACCCAGAGCCCUCAUUUUUAACAAGUACACCUUGAAUCGAAGACACAGAGUACAUUGUGAAAUUGCACAGCUCAUUCCUCAGUGUUGGAUUCAGCCAGGCCUGGGUAUGCAUAUUGGGAACUAGCUCCCCAGGGGAUUCUGUUACACAGCCAAGUCUGAAAACUACUUCUAAUUAUAAAAGAUUCCCAGAACUGAACAAUUUUUAUUCUUACUUCCCUCCAUGUUCAGGUAGUGCCCAUUAGCAACAAUAAAUGCCGAAGGAGACCGACCAAGCAGUAGCAGGAUGUAGCCGUUGAUUCCAGGUUCCCAAGUGUUCCUCCUCUUUGUGGGAAAAUGUAUAAACUGUGUCUCAGUAAGACUGGCCAAUUACUUGCAGCAUUAUUUUUACGUAAGCUGGGUAUCUAUGACUGUUUUCCCCAACUUUAAAUCACCACAUGCUCAAAUGACCCCCAGAUGGUAGCUGUUCAUGCUGUAUAUUUCGAGUGGAGAUUUUGAAGGUUCAUCUGGACACACAGCCCAUACCUCACUAUUCGCGCUCGCAAUUUUUUUGGAUAUAGAUCCUAACCCUUCUUGCAGUGCAAGACCAUCUCCUUCUGUCCUGUUGUCAAGAGAAACAAAGGAGCUGCAUUCAGUCAAAAGUAUAGAAUGCCCCUCACAUUGGACCUUGCAUGAAAGAUGUUAAAUAAUUAGUAUCAGUGGACCAAAAGUGGAAGAGAGAACUGGGCGACGAGUGGGGAGGCUGAUUUCAGAUUAUAGUAGUCGCACAGAGAAUUUCUGGAUAUAACAUUUGAGAUCUGGGCUCCCACUAAGAAAGCCAGGAGAUCUAUGUACACAGUUUGAAUCAUGUACCAGCUUGAAUCAUGUACACUUUCUGACUUGUGUCAGAUAAUAAGCACCUUAACUAAUCAGUGAGCUUAACUACCCACCCUCCACAUCUCAACCUGGCUUUCUUGUUUCCUACCUUUCAUCAGGUUUGUGGUAAAUAUCACUAAAAGCCUGAAGAAGUGGUUCAGUCAGUUAAGAGUCUGACUCUUGAUUUUGGCUCAGGUCAUGAUCUCAUGGUUUGUGGGAUUGAGCCCCAUGUCGGGCUCUACAAUGACAGUGUAGAGCCUGCUUGGGAUUCUCUCUCCCUCUCCCUCUCUCUCUCUUUCUCUUUGACUCUUUCUCUCUCAAAAAUAAAUAAGUAAACAUUUAAAAAAUAAAUAAAUACAAGCCUGAAGAGGUCACAGUUUCCUCCAGGGUUCUCCAAUCCAUUUUUAAGAGAGAAAUUAUUUACCAAGGCAUGUCUGUGAAUUUGGGAAUUAAGUUCUCAAGAGUUAGGCCUUAUAGAUGUAAAGAGUCUUUUGUUUGGUUCUCUCCCACAGUAUUUGAAUUAUAACUAAUGAAAUUAGUUUUACUAUGUUUUCAUUUUAUUAGUUUUAAUAUGUUUUCGUGUACCUAAACACUAAUUUGAAAAUUAAAAUAAAAAGCAAAAUGGUUUGUUUAGUGAUUAAUGAGCUAAUGACAAAUGAUUUUAUUUUAUUUCAAACAGAUUCACUGAUGUUGUGAUUUUUUUCAUUCAACCUGAAAUACUUAUAUCACAGCCAAGUAACCAACCUGGUUUGUUGAUUUUCCUUCCCUGAACUACUAAUCAGUUUAUGACAGGGAGUGACAAGUGCUACUUCUAGUAUAGGCAUCAUUGAGGUCACCAUACAACUCUGCCAAGUGUCAUUAGACAAGUGGUGCUCAAAGUCUACCUUGCAUCAGAAUCACCUGAGAGCUAGUUAAAACAUGGUUGUAGGGCCCCACCUCCAGAGCUUCUGAUUGAGUAAGUCUGGUGUUAGGCACAAAAUAUUGCAUUUCUAAUGUUAAAACUCAAUUCAGGCAUAUUAAAAUUUGUAAGAGUUUAUGUGAACAAAACUCAGUUUGAAUCCGGCAGCACAAAACCAGAAGUGUUAGGAGCUCUUUACCCACAGGAUCCAGCGGAGAGACUAUACAGAGAAAGGGCGGGAGGGAAGAACGGAAAUAAUUUGAUUGGCUGUAGCUCAAAGCCUAGUUGACUGUGAUUGGUUUAUCCUUAGGUUUCCAUUUCCGAACCUUCAGGCAUUUAUAGGCUUAGAUUUUGGUUUGCUUAGGUAGGCUGUGUUGGCAUUAAAGCCAUCUCAGCCCCACGGCCUCCAUGUUUAGUUGAACACUAAACAAGAACCAAGUUGAUGCUGCUUCCGGGGAACACUCUUUAAGAACCACUACCCCAGGGGUGCCUGGGUGGCUGGGUUGAUUAAGCAUGCCACUCUUGAUUUAGGCUCAGGUCAUGAUCUCACGGUUGGGUUAGAGCCCUGCAUCAGGCUCUGCUCUGAGUUGACAGUGAAGAGCUUGCUUGGGAUUCUCUCCCUCUCUCAGCCUCUUCUCCACUUGCACUCUCUCUCUUCUCAAAAUAAAUAAUAAACAUUAAAAAAAAAGAAAAGAAAAGAAAGAAAAGAAAAGAACCACUGCCCCAGGAAACAGAUUCAUAAAUACAGAGAAGAAGGAAAAGGGUCGCCAGGGAGAAGGUAGGGGAUGGGCAAAUAGGUGAAGGGGAGUGGAAUAUACAGGCUUUUAGUUAUGGAAUGACUAAGUCACAGGAAUAAAAAGUACAGCAUAGGGCAUAUAGUCAAUGGUGUCAUAAUUGUGUUGUAUGGUGACAGAUGGUAGCUACACUUGUGGUGAGCGUAGGGUACCAUAUGGACUUGUUAAUCACUACGUUGCACACUUGGAACUAACCUAACAUUGUGGGUCAACUAUUCUUCAAUUUAAAAAAAAAGAAAAGAAAAGAAAGAAGGAACCACAGCCCCAUACCAGUGGACCCUCUAGAAACUGCACCAAUAUUAUAAGCCUCAGAACGUUUACUUACUAUCCUCUGGCACAAUAUAUCUUACUAAAGCUUAUAGAUAAUGUAGUAAACUUUAGACGCCCCGGAUAUUAUUUUUACUCACAUGAAGUAAAACUCUACUAUGUAAGUCGGUUCGGAAAAUUUUAAGUGCUCUGACAGGGAGUGACAGUUAAGUGUGGUUUUGCAUUUAUGCUGGGUUGUUGAAAUAUCCAGGAAGAGCUUGCUCAGCUGGCUGGCUGGGAGCUCCUGGAAGGCACUGUUCUCGGUACUAGUACAGUUUGGGCCUGGCGCCACCUGGUGGUAGUUAUUUGCUCCAUCAUUCUGUAGCUUUGCUGAUAAUCCAGUUUCAAUGGCUGUUAAGAAAAUUAGAAAAUGUAGUGGAAACUAUGUCAAGGAAGAAAAAGAAAUGGAUUUAGUAAAGCAUUCCUUAGCCCGUGUAUUUUGAUAGUGUGCAAAUAAGCGUCCUCUAUUCUUCUCUGAUACAAAGAUUUACAAAAGCAUUCUUAUUGGAUGGUACUUUUUAAUUUAUAUGUUAGGACAGAAUAAGAAUACAAGUGACUUAAACUAGAAAACCUUCACAGUUUGAUUCAGCCAGCACAAAUGGAACAUUUCACAGAAACAAUGUGAGUAUAAAUGCAUCAAUUUAUACUCCAAUUCAGAAGUCCUCAGAAAAAAAUCUAGUUGUAUGAUUCAAAGUGAAUAACAGAGCUCUGCUCAAUUCUUUCCAUUGUUGAGGGGUUUCCAUAAGGGACCAAAGGCCAAGAGCAAUAAAGCAGGUACCAAAGACCUAGAGAUCCAAAGACAGCAAGGUCCAAGACUACCCACGUAGGAGGUGCUAAGAUUUUGCCACACUGGUUUUGCCAACAUUAGCUAAUCCCUCAUUUUGGAAGUGUAAAAGAGGACUGAGCGAUUGACGGGGGGUGGACAAGGGGGUUGGCGGUGCAAAGAGUCAUAGACAGCUGGACGGUGUGCUGUGGUGUAUCACUGACCCUUGUCCCUCAAGGAAGGGAAAGGGAGCUGCUGACUUAUUUCCACCAGCUUCCUUGAGUCUCCUUGGAGAGACAUGUGUCAUCUUAAAACUGAGGGAUUUGUAGAUGGAUAUGUGACUCAGGCCUGAAUAAUCUAGAGAGGAAUGGCAGUGACCCUGCUGUCCCUGCUGGUAGUAAGACAAAGGUGAGGUUGUUCCCCUGGCAGAGAGCUGUGUGUCAUCAAUGACGGGCCAGACGUUACUAUUUUCUGUGUGCCUUUGGGAAGGCCAAUGCAGAGACGUCUCAGAAGUGGUGCAUGAGAAUUUGCAUCCCAAACAAACACCCAGGUGAUGCUGACACCACACUGCUGCUGAGCAGGGGCCACACUGACGGAGGGUGGGGGGCAGCUCUCCUGUCUGAUAUCCCCCUUCAGAGAGGUCCCAGUGGUAAACAUCGGACUGGGGUCUGAUGGGCAUCAGCACACAUUAUUUUGUACAAGUGGAUGGGGGGGGGGGUGGUGAAAAUGCUGUGUGCAUUCCUACAGAUUAUCGCUUUCCUGUAACAGAAUAUUUUGUGAACUGAUAUUCAAUUUCAGCAUCCCAAAUAUUAAGUUAGAGCCCUUUCAUGAUAGCUUUGGUUUUGUUUUUUUUUUUAAUGUUUAUUUUUGAGAGAGACAGAUCAUGUGCAGGGAGGGCGGGGGGUGGACAGAGGAUCCGAAGGGGGCUCUGCACUGACAGCAGGGAGUCCCGUGCGGAGUUUGAACUCACAAACCGUGAGAUCAUGACCUGGGCCAAAGUUGGCCACUCAACCCACUGAGCCACCCAGGUGCCCCUCAUGACAGCUUUGUUAAAAGAUUUCUAUCCUUGCCUUUCAAUCCAUUCCUCAUUGUAAAGCCUUACAAAAUGUAUUCAAACUUUAUAUAUAAACCUGAAAACACAAGAAUACGGGUGAACAUUUUACAAAAUACACUGAUUUCUGUUAAUGCUCAGUGCUGAAUAUUGUGUCCAAUAAUGUAAUUAUUAGAAAGAGGGCACUGUGGUAUUGCAUUCACCAAUUUACCACUGUGGUAUUGCAUUGUGAUGUCUCAUGCAUUCCAGAAUAGUCCCUGUAAGAAUUUAUAAAGGGAAGCAGGGAAGUUUGAUGGUCCCUUUACACUUCACUUCUCCUUAAAAUGCUACUGAGAUUAGGAAGUGACAACUUCAGACCUUCUAUUGUCUGGAACCAGAAGGAAUCUUUACAAAUGAGUUGGUCCAUCCUUGUCAGCCCCACUCAUAUUUUUUUUAUUUGAGCCUCAUUAAAUUUGAAGAAUGUGUUCUCAGCCACCUCAUCAAAAUGCUCCUUAGACUUAAGAAGACACAAUUCUUAAGGUUCUUUUUUAAGCCAGUUUUACAAGUGACGGUUGAUUUGGUAGGGAUAUUUUGUUACUGAACAUGUUUUCAUCCGCUUGGAACAUUUAGGAAAUGUGAACGUGUAAAGCUGCCUUUCUGCACCAUCCGGCAGUUUUUAUUUGGUCAUACUGGAUAUAAAGAUAAUUCACAACGGUCCUUAAAUCACGAAAUGCUAUUGCCAAAUGAUAAUAUUCUGUUUUACAAUGAGACAGGUUAUUCAGAUUAACGUGACAAUAAAUCAAUGACAAAACAGAUUUUUAAACAUCAGUCUUUCACAGAGAUGGUAUGAAGUUUAGAUAAAAGCCAAGAUACACAUAUGAAAACCUUCUCAGUUCAGUGUCGAUUAAUUACACGUAGAGCCUAGACUGAAGCAUCUGGUUCUCCCAUAGGCGCAUUACCAAGAUUUCUCCAUUAUUUGUUUGAUAUAAUAUAUAAAAUACAGUUUAAUCAAAAAAGAAAGUACAAGAUGAAGUGUGAUUUUUUCAUUGGUUCUAACAGACCCUUUAUAAGGAAAACUGCGUGAUGACUAGCCAGUAGGGGAGGAAUGGAUGGUGUUUGGAAAUAUAACAUUUAUUUCUCUAAAGUGUUUACAAAGCUUUCUGGCGCAUCAUGACCAGAUGUUAAGUAUUGUGCUUUCUUACAAAUGAAAUUAUAGGAUCUUAAUCGUCAGAAUGGAAGGCACGUUAGGAAGUAUCAAUUUAACUCUUCUAUCAGGGGUUGCAUUUGACAGCAAGUAGCAGAGUCCUGAGAAACAGUGGCUUAAUUAGACAGAGCUUUAUUUUCCCUGCAUAUAAAGUGGGCAUCCAGAGAGAAGCUGUUGCUCAUCAGGCUGAGUCUCUCCAAUUCUCAAGACUUUCCCUGGGGCUUGCAAGAAGCUGUUGGGACUCCUACCAUUAAUUAUGAAUUCCAGGUAACAAAGAAGAAAAACUGAAGGAAAGGAAGAAGGGGAAGUUCCUGUGCCAGGAAGACAAGAACUCAAUAUCCCAGUAGAUAGUCAUCUCAUGUCAUUGAUGGAAACCAGUCAUUGUCCACCUCUGUCAGGGAAGGUUGGAAGGUAGCUUUUAGCUGGCC